CCAAUAGCGUAUAUUAAAGUUGUUGCAGUUAAAAAGCUCGUAGUUGAAUUUCGAGAUCAAAUUGUUGGUCGUGCCUUGGUACGCACUGGCAUUAUUGGUUUCUCCCUUCUGACGAAUCAUGAUGUCAUUAAUUUGGUGUCUUGGGGAAUCAGGACUGUUACUUUGAAAAAAUUAGAGUGUUUAAAGCAGGCUCACGCUUGAAUACAUUAGCAUGGAAUAAUGAAAUAGGACGUUUGAUUCUAUUUUGUUGGUUUCUAGGAUCGACGUAAUGAUUAAUAGGGAUAGUUGGGGGCAUUAGUAUUCAAUUGUCAGAGGUGAAAUUCUUGGAUUUAUUGAAGACUAACUACUGCGAAAGCAUUUGCCAAGGAUGUUUUCAUUAAUCAAGAACGAAAGUUAGGGGAUCGAAGACGAUCAGAUACCGUCGUAGUCUUAACCAUAAACUAUGCCGACUAGGGAUCGGAUGAUGUUAAUUUUUUAAUGACUCAUUCGGCGCCUUACG
rnacentral:rRNA from 1 species